CCAUUUUGGGGGUGCGAGGAACAUGGUGUGAAGAAUCACGUCCGCCAUCGAAAAGGGAGGAUCCUCCAACCAGACGGGUGUUGUGUCUGGCGGGCUAACGGCCCCCGACGGUUGUUGUCGGGUUCUUGUAUAUAUACUUAAUUACUUUGAAAACUCUGAUAGCGCGAUGUAGCAUACGUCAGUUUUUCUCUAAUUACGUAGUUUCGUAGUCGUUUGUAUUUCGCGUGAUAGAUGUCGCCACAUCACUCCCCUCCGAGACCGGAGGUCGAUAGCAGGUUAAGUCGUCCAUUCAUCUUAUGAUGCUUGCCGGGCCAGUGGAAUGUUCCAGUGAGUCGGAACCAGAUGCAGUUUGGGGGUGGUGUGAGGAAUCACGUCGGCCAUUGCAAAGGGAGGAUCCUCUGGCCAGACGGGUGUUGUGUCUGGCGGGCUAACGCCCCGACGG
rnacentral:misc_RNA from 1 species